rnacentral:rRNA from 1 species
CCCGCUGAACUUAAGCAUAUCAAUAAGCGGAGGAAAAGAAACCAACAGGGAUUGCCUCAGUAACGGCGAGUGAAGCGGCAACAGCUCAAAUUUGAAAUCUGGCCCUCGGGCCCGAGUUGUAAUUUGUAGAGGAUGCUUCGGGCGUGGUCCGGUCUAAGUUCCUUGGAACAGGACGUCGUAGAGGGUGAGAAUCCCGUAUGCGGCCGGGUGCCUAAGCCUAUGUGAAGCUCCUUCGAUGAGUCGGGUUGUUUGGGAAUGCAGCUCAAAAUGGGUGGUAAAUUUCAUCUAAAGCUAAAUACUGGCCAGAGACCGAUAGCGCACAAGUAGAGUGAUCGAAAGAUGAAAAGCACUUUGGAAAGAGAGUUAAAUAGUACGUGAAAUUGUUGAAAGGGAAGCGCUUGCAACCAGACUUGCGUGCGGCUGAUCAUCUGGCGUUCUCGCCGGUGCACUCGGCCGCACACAGGCCAGCAUCGGUUCUAGUGGCUAGACAAAGGCUCUGGGAAUGUGGCUUCCUUCGGGGAGUGUUAUAGCCCUCGGUGCAAUGUAGCCUACUGGGAUCGAGGACCGCGCUCUGGCUAGGAUGCUGGCGUAAUGGUUGUAAGCGGCCCGUCUUGAAACACGG